rnacentral:rRNA from 1 species
UACGGGGGGGGCAAGCGUUGUUCGGAAUUACUGGGCGUAAAGGGCGCGUAGGCGGCCUUCUAAGUCAGACGUGAAAUCCCCCGGCUUAACCUGGGAACUGCGUCUGAUACUGGGAGGCUAGAGUAUGGGAGAGGGAUGUAGAAUUCCAGGUGUAGCGGUGAAAUGCGUAGAUAUCUGGAGGAAUACCGGUGGCGAAGGCGGCAUCCUGGACCAUUACUGACGCUGAGGCGCGAAAGCUGGGGGAGCAAACGGG